rnacentral:ncRNA from 1 species
GCUGGUGAUCACAUCCACAAAGUUAACCUGCUGAUCGCAGAUGAUGCGCGUGAUGCGCUGGCGAUCCUCGUGGGUCAGCAUGUUGAUGUAGUUAUGCGCCAGCUCAUUACUGAGGAUGUUCACGCCGUCACUGAUGCGCAAAAUAGAGAUGCCGACCGGUGCCGACGCCACAAUUUUGUGGUUGAACUGCUCGUUCUCCUCCAGCCGGAAAGCGUUCUCUUCCGCCGGGAAGAACAUUUUGCGCUCAAACAGCCACGCCAGCGUGAACAGCAGGAUCGCCGAGAAGAUGUUCAGCAGGAAGGCGUUGAGGAUCAGGAUUUUAAAGCGGUCCAGCAGGGUGCGCACCGGCAGCGAGUAGACAAUGCUGAGCGUUGACGGUUGCAGGCUCUUUUUCAUGAUCAGGUCGUUAUACCCGUUCACGUAGCCAAAGUAGCUGGCGGCGUCCGGGUAGCGGCCCAGCAUCGAGAUGUAGCGCUCCCCU